UACAGAGGGGGCAAGCGUUAUUCGGAAUUAUUGGGCGUAAAGGGCGCGUAGGCGGCUUGGCAAGUGGAAGGUGAAAUCCCUCGGCUUAACCGAGGAACUGCCUCCCAAACUGCCUGGCUUGAGACCAGGAGAGGUGAGUGGAAUUCCCAGUGUAGCGGUGAAAUGCGUAGAUAUUGGGAGGAACACCAGUGGCGAAGGCGGCUCACUGGACUGGUACUGACGCUGAUGCGCGAAAGCGUGGGGAGCAAACGGG
rnacentral:rRNA from 1 species